UCUUUGCUAGUAUAUCGGAUAGUACAGCCGCCUGUCAUGGAUGUUGGUCAUAACGGCCGCGGCAGAGCUGGGUUCGACUCCCAGGCAGAGAG